rnacentral:lncRNA from 1 species
AGGGUUGGUAAUAAAAAAGCUUCCUUUCUUACACUUUUCCCAGUGGUACCUGAUUGAAUACAAGGAUGGAUUCCAGGAAUUUGUCAAAUCAGGGUCCAUCAGAAAUAAGAACACGAACACUUUCUGCACCAUAGAAAUGCUCGUGCAGAUCUUCUGGUCAGAAGAACCAACAGUCAGACUGCAGAAGGAGCAGUGCCAUGCACAACCAGAGACCGAGGAUAAGGGCUGUCAGACUGAAACCGAUGACGCACACCCAACAAAAUGUUCUGGUCCCAGCGAGCAAAGGGCCCACGCCACAUUCAAUAGCAGCUUGCAACACCAGAACUGUCCGAGCAGUAUGGCCAACGGCGGCCAGCCACCAGACUCCGGCGAACACACUGAAGAAUUGUGGCAAUCUGACGAAGACCAGCCAGUCUGGACUCUGAAAUUUGAUCCCAAGCCUCCAAAGGCCAGCAAAUCCGCCCGUCGUCGUCGUCGCAACGGCCAGCGUCAACUGCGUGAUUACAGCAUGGAUGAUGAGUACGAUGACGAAGAAAUUAGGAUGACCCCACAGGGACUCUGCCUAUUCCGAUUGUUUGGCAGUCGAUGGGUGGCAAUGGCCUAAUCAGUUUUUCUUUUUGGAAUACAGUGAUCCCUCGUUUAUCGCGGGAGUUGUGUUCCAAAACUAACACGCGAAAAGUGAAAUCCGUGAAGUAGUCAGCUUUAUUUUUUAUUUGUAUUUUACAAUGCAAUACUGAACUAUAGAAUGAAACCAAAAAUCAAAACCUGUUUUAAAGCCCAAAAUUUGUUUAAAACAAUAAUUUUAAUAUAGUAAUACAAGGUUGGAAACAUUGUCACUCGCGUAUUUCCCAGUCCCAGCUGUGCCUCUUCGUCCUGACUCCGCUCCGCUGGAGCGUCUGUUUCUACUGGAGGCGCAGGAGUCUUUCUCCCAGAGAAGAACAUUGUUAUGGGUAGUUGUUGGCGCUCUUUCUUUUUCUGAGCAAGAAGAUUUUUAUAAAUGGAUAUGCCACCUUCGAUUAUAUUUGAGAACUGCAACGAACGACUCGCAAAAAAAAAAUCCGUGAAGCAGCGAAGCCGUGAAAGAUGAAACGCGAUAUAGCGAGGGAUCACUGUAUUUCCUUUUUAAUGAUCCAUUUUUUUUCCUGAACUUCAUGAAUAUUUGUGAUAUUUGUGAAUAAAAUCUGAAUAUACUCC